rnacentral:rRNA from 1 species
UGCCCAGACUCCUACGGGAGGCAGCAGUGGGGAAUAUUGGACAAUGGGGGGAACCCUGAUCCAGCGACGCCGCGUGAGUGAAGAAGUAUUUCGGUAUGUAAAGCCCUAUCGGCAGGGAAGAAGCAAGACGGUACCUGACUAAGAAGCCCCGGCUAACUACGUGCCAGCAGCCGCGGUAAUACGUAGGGGGCGAGCGUUAUCCGGAUUCACUGGGUGUAAAGGGAGCGUAGACGGCCAAGCAAGCCAGGGGUGAAAGCCCGGGGCCCAACCCCGGGACUGCCCUUGGAACUGCUUGGCUGGAGUGCGGGAGGGGCAGGCGGAAUUCCUGGUGUAGCGGUGAAAUGCGUAGAUAUCAGGAGGAACACCGGCGGCGAAGGCGGCCUGCUGGACCGCUACUGACGUUGAGGCUCGAAAGCGUGGGGAGCGAACAGGAUUAGAUACCCGAGUAC